rnacentral:rRNA from 1 species
GACGAACGCUGGCGGCGUGCUUAACACAUGCAAGUCGAGCGGUAAGGCCCUUUCGGGGGUACACGAGCGGCGAACGGGUGAGUAACACGUGGGUGACCUGCCCUCAGCUCUGGGAUAAGCCUGGGAAACUGGGUCUAAUACUGGAUAUGACUCCACGGUGCAUGUCGUGGGGUGGAAAGCCUUGUGCGGCUGAGGAUGGGCCCGCGGCCUAUCAGCUUGUUGGUGGGGUGANGGCCUACCAAGGCGACGACGGGUAGCCGGCCUGAGAGGGCGACCGGCCACACUGGGACUGAGACACGGCCCAGACUCCUACGGGAGGCAGCAGUGGGGAAUCUUGCGCAAUGGGCGAAAGCCUGACGCAGCGACGCCGCGUGAGGGA